ensembl:snRNA U6 U6 spliceosomal RNA
GUUUUGAUUUAGUUUUGUAACACAUAUGCUACAAAUGGAAUGAUAAAGAGAACAGCAUGUUCCGUGUACAAGGAUGACACAAACAUUUGAAAUGCUUUCUGAAUAAAU